GCACUGUAGUCAGAGUUUGAUCCUGGCUCAGGAUGAACGCUGGCGGCGUGCCUAACACAUGCAAGUCGAGCGAGAAAUUAAUUAAGGAAUCUUCGGAAGAAUUAAUUAAUGGAAAGCGGCGGACGGGUGAGUAACGCGUGGGCAACCUGCCUUUCACAGAGGGAUAGCCAAAGGAAACUUUGAUUAAAACCUCAUAAUGCUAAUUUACUGCAUAAUAGAUUAGCCAAAGAUUUUAUCGGUAUGAGAUGGUCUUGCGUCUGGUUAGCUGGUUGGCGGGGUAACGGCCUACCAAGGCGACGAUCAGUAGCCGGCCUGAGAGGGUGUACGGCCACAUUGGGACUGAGACACGGCCCAA
rnacentral:rRNA from 1 species